GGAUAAUAUACAUGAAUUAAAUCAAAAUUUUUAAAUAACAAAGUAAAUUUAAACUAAAUAACGAGUAAAGUAAACAGUUUAGGGAAUAAAACUUUGCAGUUUCAUCGUCUGUCGUCGUCUGCUGUUCAUAACUGUGUUUAUGGCACGCGCGCUUAGAAACCAGAAACAGCAACGGGUUCAAAGUGCAAUGUGGAGUGAACUGAGACCAAAAUGUGUAUAAUAACAAUCAAAUAAGCACUGUGGAGUUUCAGUUGUGAUGGCAGUAAGGAUAAAAACCACCGAUUACAAGGACUUUUAUUGCUGUGAAAUAAUGAAGUGCUAAGUACCACCAGUUUCACCAAAGUGCAAUGGAGAGACGAGGGCAUGAUUCUCCAGGGGAGUGUGUUUUCGGAGGAACCUUAUAAUGGAUUGUGUAGCAGCAUGGAAGAGAGGCCAAGACGGGGAUUCCAUUUCCCUACCAUAGUCUUUGGCAUCCACCACAUACUGCUGGAUUACUUCCGAGGGAUUCAACUUCGUGGAUUUAUAUCGAGGAAGCAGGCGCUUGAUAACUUUGAGGCUAUGUGCAGUGGCAUCAUGGUAAUGGUAUUGCUCGAUGCAUCUUAUAAACUUUUCACUGGUUAUAAGCGAUUCGGAGUGUGGAGGUUAGGUAACUAGUGCCAGAGUUACCUAGAUAUCGGAGCAGCAUCAAGUG